CUAGUCUGUCCACGGUGGACUGGUCUCUGCUGGAGGAUCUAGUCUGUCCACGGUGGACUGGUCUCUGCUGGAGGAUCUCGUCUGUCCACGGUGGACUGGUCUCUGCUGGAGAUGUUCUGGUGAACCUGCAUGAUGUCAUCUGAUUUCACCAGAACCCGACCCGGUGGAUCAGGAUCAAGAAGGUCACUCACCUUGGUCCGAGUCAGGCGACAACCCAUCCUGACUCCUCCUGGUGAGAGGAGAGAGGAUGGAGGGUGAAAGGAGAGGAAGAUGAGGAGGACGGCUGAGAGAAGCUACAGAGGGGAGGGCGGCUGAAAGAAGGAGAGAGAGCGCAGAAUAGAUGAUCCUCGUUCGACCGCCAAGCUCACGCCCCCCCACAACCCCCUCGCCCCAGCAAUUCAGCUGUGCUCCUGUGCCGCCCAGCGCACUACAUCUCCCAUGAUGCCACGGUGUAAACAGCAGCCGACUGGCAGCGGCGGGGCCAUCGCACUAAAGCGCCCUCUCUCUCUCCUCGCCAAUGAGAGAGAGCGAGAGACGUGAAGGAGAACAGAGAGCGAGAUGGAGCUCUGCUCCCCCUGGCCAAUCACAGAGCCCGGAUGAGAGGAGGAGGGAGGCGGAUGCUCUGAUUGGCCGAGAGCGGAGUCAUUCUGAGCAUCCAUUCGGGGUUUUCUCUCUCGCCACAGAUUUGUCCUUUCUCCUUCGUCUCGGUAUUUCUCCUGUGUGUGUGUGUGUGUGUGUGUGUGUGUGUGUGUGUGUGUGUAGUUGUGGUGAAGAGAGCGCGUUUCAUCUACAUUGGACUCGUAUCCGUCUGUGGGAAGUGGAGGUCACGUGACGUCCCUCAUUGGUGUGUAGACGUUUUCAAACUUCUAGUUCAGCGAUUUUUCUGUCGGCAUUUUGUUUUUUCACAACCAGUGAACAGGAAGUGACCAUAUAAGGACUGAGGAGGACAUAGAGACGCCGUGUACGUCUCUGUUAAAGACCUGUCAAUCAGCGUGUAGACCCACCCUAAAGCAUCCUCUGCUUUAUGGUCUGUUGGACUCUAAAUGGACUGAAUGAAAUUCAGAUUUUCAGAUUUGAAACUAGAGAUUGAGACCAUAAACCUUUAUAAUGUUUAUAAUCAAGUCUAUGGGACCAGAGGAGUCGCCCUCUGCUGGUCACUGCACAGAAUGCAGCUCUAAGACUUAACAAAAACAAAGUUCUAUUCCUAUAGCAGUGGUAUGAACGGUAUAUUUGCGCUGGAGUCGCAAGAUUGGUCUGGUUUGGGCUGUCAAUAAAAAUGAACUAAUCGCACAUUUUAAAAUUCAUUAAUCACGAAUAAUGAAUGUUCUUCUAAAGACUAA